AAUGGGAGCAAUCCUGAUGCAGCGACGCCGCGUGGAUGAUGAAGGCCUUCGGGUUGUAAAGUCCGAUAAGCAGGGAAGAAUAAGCAACGGGAAAUAUUCGUUGUGAUGACGGUACCUGCCUAAAGCCCCGGCUAACUACGUGCCAGCAGCCGCGGUAAUACGUAUGGGGCAAGCGUUGUUCGGAAUUAUUGGGCGUAAAGGGCGCCUAGGCGGGGGACUAAGUUAGUUGUGAAAGCUAUGGGCUCAACCCAUAAAUUGCAUCUAAGACUGGUUCUCUUGAGUUCGGGAGAGGAGAGCGGAAUUCCAGGUGUAGCGGUGAAAUGCGUAGAUAUCUGGAAGAACACCAGUGGCGAAGGCGGCUCUCUGGCCUAGGGCUGACGCUGAAGCGCGAAAGCGUGGGGAGCGAA
rnacentral:rRNA from 1 species